rnacentral:misc_RNA from 1 species
AAAAUAUCAUAACCCUGAAAGAAAUAACAAAGGACAUAUAUGAAAUUACAGAUGGCAACUUUACCCACCCCCAAAUCCAGCAGGGAUGGGUUUAAGGUGUCCAUUGCCAAUGCAGCGAAUUCCACUUAUGACUUGCAGGCUCUCUGAACCAUCCAGUACCAUCCUACCCCUCAAUUUAAAAUGACUCCAUACUCAAAAAUGAAAAUGCGUUGAUGAUCAUAGUCAUUCUAAAUCCAUAUUUACCAUAAUAAUAAAUCAAGUCCACAAUAU